rnacentral:rRNA from 1 species
CAGUGAAAUUGAACUCGCUGUGAAGAUGCAGUGUACCCGCGGCAAGACGGAAAGACCCCGUGAACCUUUACUAUAGCUUGACACUGAACAUUGAGCCUUGAUGUGUAGGAUAGGUGGGAGGCUUUGAAGUGUGGACGCCAGUCUGCAUGGAGCCGACCUUGAAAUACCACCCUUUAAUGUUUGAUGUUCUAACGUUGACCCGUAAUCCGGGUUGCGGACAGUGUCUGGUGGGUAGUUUGACUGGGGCGGUCUCCUCCUAAAGAGUAACGGAGGAGCACGAAGGUUGGCUAAUCCUGGUCGGACAUCAGGAGGUUAGUGCAAUGGCAUAAGCCAGCUUGACUGCGAGCGUGACGGCGCGAGCAGGUGCGAAAGCAGGUCAUAGUGAUCCGGUGGUUCUGAAUGGAAGGGCCAUCGCUCAACGGAUAAAAGGUACUCCGGGGAUAACAGGCUGAUACCGCCCAAGAGUUCAUAUCGACGGCGGUGUUUGGCACCUCGAUGUCGGCUCAUCACAUCCUGGGGCUGAAGUAGGUCCCAAGGGUAUGGCUGUUCGCCAUUUAAAGUGGUACGCGAGCUGGGUUUAGAACGUCGUGAGACAGUUCGGUCCCUAUCUGCCGUGGGCGCUGGAGAACUGAGGGGGGCUGCUCCUAGUACGAGAGGACCGGAGUGGACGCAUCACUGGUGUUCGGGUUGUCAUGCCAAUGGCACUGCCCGGUAGCUAAAUGCGGAAGAGAUAAGUGCUGAAAGCAUCUAAGCACGAAACUUGCCCCGAGAUGAGUUCUCCCUGACUCCUUGAGAGUCCUGAAGGAACGUUGAAGACGACGACGUUGAUAGGCCGGGUGUGUAAGCGCAGCGAUGCGUUGAGCUAACCGGUACUAAUGAACCGUGAGG